AUUCCAUACCACUCCACACCAUUCCACACCAUCCCAUACCCCUGGUGCCUCGGGUACAGCGACCGUUUGUCACAACACCUCGCCCACACACUGCAGAUCUAACCCGACUGCUGACAACAUUUUCUGUUCAGAGCUGGUAGCUGUGAACCUCACUAACUUUGGAUUGCAUCCUUGAGAGGUUUUACCUCUGCAAAUUCAACUGGAAAAGUUCAAGAAUAAAAAUGCGCAGAGCACUAAAAGGAACAACCCCCAAAGUCUUCUGUGACUGCCACCCUGUGUCCUCAGGCAUCUUCCAGGAGGUGGAAAAUCGAGACACUGUGAUGGCACUAUUGUGGCACAGUUUGUGGCACAGAGCUGUCUGGGAGUCAC